rnacentral:tRNA from 1 species
GCCGGCGUGAUGAAAUCGGUAGACAUGCCAGACUCAAAAUCUGGUGGGGGGUAACCCCCGUGUCGGUUCGACUCCGACCGCCGGCA